rnacentral:tRNA from 1 species
GCUGAUGUGGCUCAGAUGGUAGAGCAGUGCACUCGUAAUGCACAGGUCGGGGGUUCGAGUCCCCCCAUCAGCU